GUCUGCACAAUGACCCAACAGUGCACAUGAUAUCCCAUGCAAAGAAACUUUUAACUAAAGGUAUGUUGAAUGUCAUGACAUGUGCAGAAGAGCACAAAUUUUCAUCUGUUGCCAUUCCAGCAGUGAGCUCUGGAAUAUUCAACUUUCCAGUCUCAAUUUGUGCUGAUGUUGUAGUCACCACAAUCAAAAAGUACAUUGAACAUAAGAACCCCACAAGUCCUCCAUUUGAAAUACACCUGGUAAACAACGAUGAUCCAACCGUGAAGGAAAUGGAAAGGGCCUUCAAAGAGAUCCUUUUGGAGCCACUCUCUGAUGUCAGGAGGACAAUCGAGGGGCCAGAGGAUUCUCCAUCUACACUGGAAAGGACAGAGCACCUUGAGAGAAACACAACCGGUGUGACAAAGGACACUGCAUCACAGGUCGCAUAUUUGUGGAAACAACAGGAAACGGAAGUUGUUGUUUCUGUGGUCCCAUCUCAGAUUAGAGGUAACAACUUUGUCAUACGUCACAGUGAGUUCCUGACCCUUAGACCACACAGCUGGCUUGUUGGAGAGGUCAUUGAAAGUCUCCUGCACCACUGGGCCAUUCGGCUAAAUCUGGGGAAUAAUAUCUACAUUAUGAACCACUACACGAGCGGUGUGAUCCUCUAUGGAGAGAGAGAACUAAUCAGGAGACAAAGCUUGUCCAAGGUGAACUUUGACAACUACCGAGCCAUUUUAUCCUUUGUGAACAUUGGAAAUGUACACUGGAAGUUUCUGUACAUAAAUGCAGAUGACAGCUGUCUGUAUUUGGUCGAUCCUUCAAGAAACUCUUUGGAGCAGGAAGAGUCUGACCGUGCAGCCAAAAGAUUCCGUGAAUCCUUCAAAAUGAGGAGGACAUGCUACAACAAAACAGACUGGGUGAAUGUGAGACUUCGAGGAGUACUGACACAUCCAUUUCAACGGGAUGGUUCUAGCUGCGGGGUAAUGGUCAUCAUGGUAUGGUACCGCAUUAACGCAAUAAUAUUGUUCUGUAAAAUUAGAUAAGAAGAUGGGGUGGGGGGUGGGGGGAGUUAAAAUAAUCUUAAAAGGUUAAAUUGUGUAAACAGGAAGUGUAACAUUUGCAGAUGUUUU